AGUGUGUCUGGUCGAUCAGGAACGCAGGGGGCGACCAAAACCCUCCACCAAACCCUAACUUCUACAAAAUUGAUCAAUUGAAGGCCAAUUUCAGUCCCAAAUCAAAAUCCGAACAUAGAUUAGUGAUCCUCAUUACAAGGGGGUUGUAAGGAAAGGAUACCGGAGCGUCGAGUGGACAAGCCGGUGGUGAUUUGCGGUUGAAGGGCGUGCACUAAAGGUGACGAUGUGGAUCUUACGGAUGGCGGUCAAGCAAGUUUUGAAGAACCGAACACACUUUAGAAGCUUCCGCGAUAUCUAAAUUUAAUAGACAAUGUUUUGAAAUGUAAUCAAUUAGCUAAACAACUUAUGAAUGUUUGAAAUAGUUGUUAGUUGACUAAUGUUUUGCUGCUUAUGAACUAUAUCUAUGGAACUUAUGUUAUAAUUGGACGUCUUUUAUGUAUAAUUACAUGAAUUAUUAUUAAAUUCAAGUAGUA